rnacentral:rRNA from 1 species
UACGGGGGGGGCAAGCGUUGUUCGGAAUUACUGGGCGUAAAGGGCGCGUAGGCGGCCAGACAAAGUCGAGCGUUAAAUUCCAGGGCUUAACCCUGGGCUGUUGCUCGAUACUAGUCGGCUAGAGUGUGGAAGAGGGUGCUGGAAUUCCCGGUGUAGCGGUGAAAUGCGCAGAUAUCAGGAAGAACACCAAUGGCGAAGGCAGCUCUCUGGGACGGUACUGACGCUGAGACGCGAAAGCGUGGGGAGCGAACAGG